GCUGGGCAUGGUGGCACGUGCCUGUAGUCCCAGCUACUCGGGAGGCUGAGGUGGGAGGAUCUCUUGAGUCCAGGAGUUCGGGGCUGCAGUGCGCUAUGCCGAUCGGGUGUCCGCACUAAGUUCGGCAUCAAUAUGGUGACCUCCCAGGAGCGGGGGACCAACAGGUUGCCUAAGGAGGGGUGAACAGGCCCAGGUCAGAAACGGAGCAGGUCAAAACUCCCGUGCUGAUCAGUAGUGGGAUCGUGCCUGUGAAUAGCCACUGCACUCCAGCCUGGGCAACAUAGUGAGACCCCGUCUUU
rnacentral:SRP_RNA from 1 species